AUUGAACGCUGGCGGCAGGCUUAACACAUGCAAGUCGAGCGGGGUGAUGGUGCUUGCACUAUCACUUAGCGGCGGACGGGUGAGUAAUGCUUAGGAAUCUGCCUAUUAGUGGGGGACAACAUCUCGAAAGGGAUGCUAAUACCGCAUACGUCCUCCGGGAGAAAGCAGGGGAUCACUGGUGACCUUCCGCUAAUAUAUGAGCCUAAGUCGGAUUAGCUAGUUGGUGGGGUAAAGGCCUACUAAGGGGACGAUCUGUAGAGGGUCUGAGAGGAAGAUCCGCCACACUGGGACGGAGACACGGCCCAGACUCCUACGGGAGGCAGCAGUGGGGAAUAUUGGACAAUGGGGGGAACCCUGAUCCAGCCAUGGCGCGUGUGUGAAGAAGGCCUUAUGGUUGUAAAGCACUUUAAGCGAGGAGGAGGCUCUUUUGGUUAAUACCCAAGAUGAGUGGACGUUACUCGCAGAAUAAGCACCGGCUAACUCUGUGCCAGCCGCCGCGGUAA
rnacentral:rRNA from 1 species